CCCAAAUUGAAUCCGGUGUUUGAUCCGCCGCAACUUGCGGCUGUCGUUGCACCGACUGCUAGAGAUAACUCGGUCACCUCCUCACCUCUCAUUUGUUCGUGUCGCUCCUUCGGUCGGUGACAUUUGCGACGGUCGUGCGACCGCUCGGCUUAGGGCCGUUUUAGCGACGUAUAACGACCUGAAUCAACGAGGACUACUGAUCCAACGGCUGAGAUCAAAUCAAUUUCAUAUAGUCGACCUGUUCAAUCCCCUUCCCCUUUCUCUUCCCUUCCCCAAAACCUAAACCUUACACCCAAUUUUCUCCGCAAGAUCGCUUCUCAUUCGAGGUUUCUGCACUCGUUUAGGUUAAUCUGGUUGGUCCGGUCUCGGUGCGGAUGGUUGUGAUGGAGGAUCUGAUACGGUCGAUCGAGUUGUGGUUGAGAUUGACGAAGAAGCAGCAGCCGCUCGUGGACCCUAAUCUUGAUCCCGUGCUGCUGGUUCCCGGGAUCGCGGAGUCGAUACUGACCGCCGAUGAUAAUGGGAAGGAGGAGCGGAUGUGGGUGCGGAUUAUUAUUGGCGCCGAUCAUGAGUUUCGGGCGAAUGUCUGGUCGGAAUUUGAUCCUUCUACCGGACUCGAUGGCUGUCGGUGGGAGCCUCCUCCAAGAGGUGGCAUCCCUUAAGGAGCGGUACAAUGCAAUUGCCACGUAGUCUCUAGUCGAGUAGGAGCUAGCCCAACGCCAGACCAGGGUUGGCGAAGUGGAGUGUGAGCUCGAGGCCAAGACUACCAUCUUGCGACAGCGAGCGGAGAUAGCACAGAAGGCGACUGAGGUAGCAAAGGCAACAGCAACUUAGGAGUACCAUCGAACCCUAGACGCCGAGGCUGAGGUGGAGCACCUUGGGCAGGAGAACUUCACUUUGAAGAUGGAAGUCGGCAACCUCUACCAUGCAAUUGAUGCCAUGGCUCAGCAAUUGGAGGAGGUGGAUGAUCGAGAAGCAAAGAUCAAAGUAUGUGGGGUAGAGAAGUAUAAGGCUUCUUAGGGCUUCAAGAAGGGAUUAUCAAGGUUGGGGCAUAACUCCUUUGCCUUUAGCUAUGAACUUGUGAUCUCUAAAGUCAAGUACGACCACCCUGACAUCAAGUUCCCCGAGGACCCGGCCUGAUAAGUGCCCCACCAACAGUGAAGUCAUCAUGAUCAGCUCAAGCAACAUCGCCGACCAAAGAAAGAGAACCAUCUACACAGAGGGAGAAGUUAUUGAGUAAUUUUGUUGUUGACUAAUUUAUGUUCUAACAUCAUGUCAUGGAGCCAUGUAUUUCUAUUUUGUUUCUUGAUCCUACUUAUUGGGCCAGGGCAACUUGACACACUUGAAUUAGCAUUAUAAAAAAAAUAGAUUGUAAACAUCUUGAUAUUACUUACAAUUGCA